UCCAUCAUGGUGUAGUGGCUAACAUUAUCGCCUCUCAUGUAUAGCGGCAGCCGAUUGGCCACAGAUGAGCGCGAUAGCCCAGGGUUCGAUUCCCUGUGAUGGAA